rnacentral:snRNA from 1 species
UUGCUUUGGCAGCACAUAUACUAAAAUUGGAACGAUACAGAGAUUAGCAUGGCCCUUGUGCAAGGGUGACACGCAAAUUCGUGAAGCUUCCAUAUUUAA